rnacentral:lncRNA from 1 species
GGAUUUUUAAUCUCAUAUGAUUUGUUAAUUUUCAUUGAUUUAAAAAUAAUUCAUUUCAAUUUACAGAUACUGAAGUUUGCUCUUUGAUGUGCAGGUCUGAAUUUUAAAACAGAUUGUGUAAUCAAAAUGGAGAACAAUUCUAACAUCACCCUCUCCCCCGCCCCCACAAAAUUUGCUACUCCCCUUUUCUUUCUUCCUUUUUUUUUUUUUUAACAAUUGAUAAUCAAUUUAUUAAAACAGUUGACUUAGGCAUCUGCAAUGGUGAUUUCGACCUUCACUCCUGGCUCAAUACUGAUGAAAGUAAUCUGCUUAACAAUCUCAGAAGGACUGUGCAAAGUCAGUGAGUCCUUGUGGAUUCUCAUCUGAAAGGAUCCCAGGUCUUGGAACCUUCACCACAAGAUGUUUUUCUUUUAGUGAUUCUCAAAGUCUUAGUAGGCAUGCAAACAGGUCCUUUCACUUUGAGAUUCUUUUCCUUUAUGCCUCUGAUCAAGUCAGCAUACACUUUGUCAAGUGAUUUCACAUUGCGGCUGGUAAGGAUAAUUCUAAUAUAAUGAAUCACUAUCUGUUCCACGGGUGCCUUUCUGUUUUCUUUAAAUGCCAUGACUGUGGUGCAGCUUCCUGACCUACUUGUUACUCAGCGAGAGAGAACAGUGGUGAGUCAGGAGCAGAAGCUGGCAGCAUGGUGCUCUGCUGCACUCAAAACCGCUUUGUUUUCAAAAAGGCUACCCCCUUUUUAAGCCUUUUCCCUGAGUUUCCUUGGCAAUUUCUGAUCUUAUUUCUUCCAAAAUAAUGUGGCUUUCUGAAUUUUUUUUUUAAUUUAACCGUGAGAUUCAUCCAAAGUAUUGUAUAUAUCAAGAGUGGUUCCUGUUUAUUUCUGAAUCAUAUUGAAUUGUACAGAUGAAUCACAAUUUAUUCUUCUGUUGAGGCAUAUUUGAAUUGUUUCUAGUUUUUGAUUAUUAGUAGUAAUUGCUAAGAACAUUUCUAUACAGAUUUUUUUGGGGGGUGGUACCAGGAUUGAACUAAGAGGCAGUUGGCCGCUGAUUCACAUCAUAUCCCUACUUUUUGUAUUUUAUCUAGAGAUGGUCUCACUGAGUUAGUUGCUUAGCGCCUCGAUUUUGCUGAAGCUGGCUUAGAACUUGCGAUCCUCCUCCUGUCUCAACCUCCCGAGCUGCUGGGAUUACACGUUCGCCAUCACACUCAGCUAGGAAUGUGAUUGUUGUAUUUUAUAGUAAGAAUGUUUAAAAAGGUAUGUUUAUAGUAAGUAUAUAAAUAUGUUUAUAGUAAGUACAGUAAGUAUGUUUUUUAAAGUCAGCCCAACUGUUUUCCAAAGUGUAUUAUGUCAUGCUUUCCCACCAGCAAUGUAUGAGAACUUUGGUGACUACAUUCUCACCAGCGCUUUGUAUUGUCAAGUUGUUUUUUUUUUUUUAAAGACUGACUUAACAGGUAUCUUUUUGUGAUUUUAAUAUGCAUUUUCCUAAUGACCAAUAAUACUGGGUAUCUUUUUAUAUACUUUUUUUGUUACCUGUAUAUUUUUGGUAAAAUGGCUGUUCAAAUCUUUUGUCUAUUUUAAAAAAUUGGUUUGUGUCUUAGUUUGAGCUACUAUAAUUACCUUGGGCUGGGUGGUUUAAACAACAGAAACUUAACUUUUCACAGCUUUAGAGGCUAGAAAGUCCAAGAUGAGGUAUCAGCAUAGUCAGGUUCUGGGUGAGUCCUCUUCCUUCUGGGUUUUCAUAUGGCAGAGAACCAAGUGCACUAAUUCCUUCAUGAGAUUCUACCUUUUUGCUUUAAAACCUCCCAAAUGGUUACUUACUACCACUUUAGCAUUAAGGUUUCAAAUAUGAAUUUGGUAGGAACCUAAACAGUUCAUAGCAGGUUUUUAUUUUCUUGUGAUGUUUAUUUAUUCAUUUAUUUGGUGCUGGGAUUUGAACUCAGGGGCAGUCUUUAUUUUGAGACAAGAGCCUUGCCAAAUUGUCCAGGCUGGCUUUGAACUUGAAUUCCUCCUGCCUCAACUUCCUGAAUAGCUAGGAUUUUAGGCGUGCACCAUUGCACCCAGCCAUGACUUGUUUUUUUAUUCUUAAAUUCACAUCCCAGAAUUUACCAGUGAAUAAGUACCCCUUCAAACUAGGUCUUGUGUCUUUUGGAAAGGUGCUUCAAAGUAUUUCAUCUUGUUCAUGGAUGCUGAUACAAGGUAACUCUUCGGGUAGGUUUUGUAUUUCUCUACUCAGGCCCUACCUGCAAUCAGCUUGGCUUAUUUUGCUUCAUAAGGACCAAUGUACUUUAGAAAUAGGGCUGCCUCAGUUCAAUCAUAUGUGCUUUAGAAACUCUGAAAUGGUUCAUGAAAAGCAACAGGUGUAAAAGCUAUUAAUUCUCAGCUUAUUCAUUCUGUCGCAUGUUGAAGUAACUUGACCAGUGGGGUGGUGAACUGUGAUGAGGGCAAGAAAUCAGUCUAGAUCCCUCUUUAAAGUAGUGUGAUGAGAAUAUUCAAUUUAGUUCUUAACUCCAUAUAUGUUGAAAGAAUUACCUUAUUGCCUAAGGGAAAGAUGAUUCCAGAUAUCUUUGGACAAGACAAGAUCUGUAGUUAUUAGAAGUGUUUGAGCAGUCACUACGUUUCUUGUGUAGCUUUCAGGGCUGCUUGUAUUGUUUCAUCUGAUGGAAGUUUUUUGUUGUUGUAUUUGUUUUUUUCCUCUAAGUUAACAGUAUAGUGGUGCUUGUCAUGCAUUGUCUUCCUGACAAUUUCCAUAAAUACAGGUCUUUUAACCUAUACUGACAAUAUUGUGAAGUACUUUUUUAAUUUAUUUUUUUAUUAGCUAUUCAUGAUAUUACAAUGAUCUUGGCAAUUCAUACAUUUGAAUCAUUGGAGUAUAAUUUCUCAUUUUUCUAAUUGUACAGAUUACAGAAUCACACUGGUCAUAGAGUCACCUAUAAACAUACAGCAAUCACAAUGUCUAUUCUAUUCUGCUGCCUUUCCUAUCCCCCCUACUCCUCCCCUCCUCUCCCAUCAUUUCUCUCUAUCCAAUCUAAUGUGACACACUUUUUUUUCUUUUUCUCAUCACAACAUCAUAAAUGUAUUCUGUAUAAUGAUGAGGUUCUCCUUCCAUCUUCCGUGCAACUCCCCUUCUCCCUCUUUUUCCCUCCCACCUCUCUUCCCUAUUUAGUGGUAGUCUUCUUCUCAUGCUCUUCCUCCCUAUCCCAUUUUGAGUCACCCCCCUUAUAUCAGAGAAGACAUUCGGCAUUUGUUUUUUUAGGGAUUGGCUAACUUCACUUAGCAUAAUCUGCUCUAAUGCCAUCCAUUUCCCUGCAAAUGCCCUGAUCUUGUUAUUUUUUAGUGGUGAGUAAUAUUCCAUUGUGUAUAAAUGCCACAUUUUUUUUAAUCCAUUCAUCUGUUGAAGGGCAUCUAGGUUGGUUCCACAUUCUAGCUAUUUUGAACAUUGGUGUGGCUGUAUCCCUGUAGUAUGCUCUUUUUAGGUCUUUUGGGUAUAGUCCGAGAAGGGGAAUAGCUGGGUCAAAUGGUGGUUCCAUUCCCAGCUUUCCAAGGAAUCUCCAUACUGCUUUCCAAAUUGGCUGCACCAAUUUGCAGUCCCACCAGCAAUGUAUGAGUGUACCUUUUUUCCUCCUGAAUCCUCGCCAGCACUUAUUGUUGUUUGACUUUAUAAUGGCUGCCAUUCUUAUUGGAGGGAGAUUUAUCUGAGAGUAGUUUUAAUUUGCAUUUCUCUGAUUGCUAGAGAUGGUGAGCAUUUUUUCAUGUAUUUGUUGAUUGAUUGUAUAUUCUCUUCUGAGAAGUUUCUGUUCAAGUCCUUGGCCCAUUUGUUGAUUGGGUUAUUUGUUUUUUUGUUGUUUAACUUUUUGAGUUCUUUGUAUACUCUAGAGAUUAGAGCUCUAUUGUGAAGUACUUUAAAAUGAUGUAUGUAUUAAUAAUUUUAUGAAGUGCUAAACAAGUAAUUCUGUUUGAUAAGGACAUAAAAAUAUGUUUUGGAGUCUUGUUACCUGUCACUUACUAACCAUGUAACUUAAAGAACACUUGUUUCCUCAAUACUAUCCCCUGUCCCCCCAGGGUUAGGCAGACAUUUAUUUGUCAGGCUGACAGAAAACAGUUUACCUGUAGACUAAAAGCAAAUAUGGCUUGGGAUAAAAUAAUUGCAGGUAAUGCAGGCUUCCAUCACAAUCCUUGCUGUUAAAGAUUAAGAUUGAAGUGGGAAUUUCAGUUUUCAGAGAGGAUAUUUUCAGAUAUCCCUUCCUUGCCACUGGUUACAUUGGGCCCAUCUCAGAAAAAGCAAGUGGUGUAUAUUACAAGUUAACAAACAAAUACUUCAUUUAAAAAAAGGAUAGUGUUCACUACACAGUAUUGCUAAAAAUUUUAGCAUAGUCAGUAUGUGAUCAAAUAUAAUUAUUCAACAAAUAGUAUCGUCUUUUGAAGUUUAUUAUGAUAGCUAUAGUAAUAGAUUGAGAAGAAAAUCUUAUGUUCUAGAAAAUGUAUGUGGUACAAGGACUACAAAGACAAAAAUUAUCCAUAAUGCCACCACAGGAGAUAAUCACUGUUUAAUUUGACAUAUUUCUUUUUCAAUAGACCUUAUUUUUUAACAGUUUUAGGUUUAUAGGAAAAUCAAGACGGUCUAAGUGUUCUCAUAUGCUUUAUUCAGUUUCCCCUAUUAACAUCAGUAUAAUACUUUUGUUGUAAUUUAUCAGCCAAUAUUGAUAAGUUAUUAUUAACUGAAGUCCAUAAUUUAAUUAGAGUUCUAUAGUUCUCACUUUAAUGGUUAGAACUUUUUUUCUUUUCCAGAAUCUUAUCCAGGGUACCAUAUUGAAUUCUACUGUCAUAUUUUCUUAUGUUUCUCUUGAUGAUGGCAGUUUUUCCUUGUGAUAACCUCGUGAUUUUGAGGAGUACUGGUCAGAUAUUUUAUUCCCCACUGUUGGAAUAUGCCUAAUGAAUUUCUCAUGAUAACACUGGGAUUACAUGUUAUUAGGAAGAAGCCCAAGGCAGAGUGUCAUUUUCAUGGUGUAAUCAAGGGAACAUAUAUAAUCAAGAUUUUUCAUAGUUGAUGUUGACUUUCAGUUGACUGAGGUAGUGUUUGUCAGGCUUCUCCAUUGAAGAGUUGCUCAUGUUUCCCACUUUCUGUACUGUACACUUUGGAAGGAAGUCACUGUGUGUAGCCCAUAUACCUAAGAGGUAGUGAGUUAUGUUAAUCCCACCUUAGGGAAAUCUUCAUAAACUUUAUUUGAAAUUCUUCUUGGAAGAUUAACUUAUUCAAUCAUUUAUAGCAGUAUGGACUCAUGGAUACUUACUUUGUAUUUUGAGUUAUAAUCUGAUACUAUUUGAAUCAUUCUAGUUUUGGCCAUUGUGAACUCUUUAUAAGUUCUAUUCUGUGCUCUUAUGACAUUCUCCAACUGGAGAAUGUUGUUAAUGUAUGUGUGUACAUAUGUGUGUGUGUGUGUGUGUGUGUGUGUGUGUGUGUGUGAGCUGAACAUUUCCUUACAUUCUGUUGCUACAAAUUGCUGCAGACUCAUCUUGUAUAUUUAUUUCCCUAGUAUCAUCCAUUUUUACAAGGUCUGGUUUCACUUACUGGAGAAUGGUUUUAGAGACCAUUAUCUAGGUACUAGGUAUGCUUGCUGCUACUGAGUAUCAUUUAUUUCCUCUCAACUGACAGAGCAAAAUGAUGCCUUUUCACUAACCUGUGUAUUUAAGUAUAUUUAUAAAUGCAUCUAUAUGUAACCAUUAGUAUCUACAUGAAAAAUCUAAGUCCAUACUGAUGUCUCCAAGUCAAAGUAAUUACCAGAUGGGUCAGUCUAGCUUUCUCCCUGUGUUUAUCUGUAAAAUCCCACUUCAAUAGUAAAAAACCUGGUUCCUGUCUGUCAUCCUUUUACUUACUUGUUCAAUUUCACAGUACAAGUAUAAUAGUAUCAGAAUUGUUAACAUAUAUCCUGUGGAAAAAAAACUUUAUUAAGUAAAGUUUAUGUGCUGGUUCUUUUUGCCUUUAGCCUCAUAGACUGUAUGCAUUUCCAGAGUUUUUUAGGUCAUCAUCUUUCCCCGUCCCCUUCAGCAAGGUUGUUUGAUACAUUUAUAAUACAGUUAGUCAUGCCAUUUUGAAUUCUUUCCUGGAUUCACCUGAUGUUUUUAUUUUAUUUUGAUAUAAGGUCUCAUACAUUCAGUAUGAUCUCACCUCUGUGUGUUAUGUGUAAGUAAAUUGCAAAUAUAUUGCAUAUAUUGCAAAUAAGUAUAUGAAAAAGAUGCUCAUGGUUUGUCUUAAGAGAACUGCAAAUUAAAACAACAUCAGAUUCAACCACAUACCUUUCAGAUUCAUUAAAAUAAAAAACCUGACAAAACCAAAUGCUGAUAAGAAUACAGCAACAGGAACUGUUGCAAUGGAAAUUCAUAGUGGCAUUAGCCACUUAGAAGACAGUUUGGCAAUCUCUUCCAAAGUUAGACAUAGUUUUACCAUAAGACCCAGAAAUCAUGUUUUAGAUAUUUACCAAACUGAUUUAAAAACUUAUGUUCACAAAAUAACUUACCCAUGAAUGUUUAUAGCAACUUUAUUCAUAAUCACCCAAAGCUGGAAGUAACCAAAUGUUUUUGGUUGAAUGGAUAAACAUAAAUGGAUAAACCAUGGGAUUUAUUUAGAAGAAUUCCAUAAAAGGAUGCAUUUAAAAAGUUGUUAUUGUUAAUGAUAGCAAAAGGGAAGAGGAGGAUAUUAAGUAUGGGAAAAGAGAGUCCUUAUCUUCCAUGAGGCUAUGAGAUGGCAGCAAAGGACUAGAAUUUUUCAGUUUUGGUAAUCUAGGGGACUCUGGUGUUGGAAAAUAAAAAGUUUUUUUUAAUUUUUUUUUAUUAGGAGUGUUCAGAGCUGUGAAUAUUCACAAUAACAUUCUUUGUCACUAUAUAUUUGGGAAUAAGUUGAAACUCAUAAUAUGAGUUAAGUGCAGACUUGGCAGUUUGAGGAAAAAAGCCAUCUAAUAGCCUCUAAUUUUCGACUCUAAUCACCAAUGGCCUAUACUUUUCCCCAUGGUUCUAUGAUUUGAGAAUUUCCAGUUUAAGCAAGAAUAAGAGGGGAUAUAGCUCAGUUGGUAGUGAGCUUGUCUCACAUGCACAAGGCCCUGGGUUCAAUCCUCAGCACAAAAAAGAAAAGUUACAAAAACCCUUGGGGGAUAUAGCUCAAAGGUAAAACACCUUUGGGCUCAAUCCCCAGUAUCAAAAACAGUAAUGAUAAUAAUGUUUCUGUAAAUCUUUAAAAAUGGGAGUUCAUAACCCACUUGAAUCAAAGUGUGAAAUAUGAUGUAUCAAGAACUAUGUAAUGUUUUGAACAACCAACAAUAAAAAUUUAAAAAAAAGAAUAAGAGAAAUGUUUUUUUUUUUUAUAUUUUUAAAGAAAUUUUAAGUAGGUGAUAUGGCUUGUCUUAUUAGUUCUUUUAGUAUUUCAAAAUGCUUUAUGAUGAGAGACUGUCAAACAUGGACAAUAGGUCAGGUAAUAUCUUCACCUGACUUGGCAUUCCCCUCUAAUUAAACCAUGAAAGUUUAGCAUCACAUCUGUAGUGGAACAUAGGACAACUUAUUUAAUUUUAUCCUGAGUAAAUGAAUGAAUUUGUCAAGAAAGAAAGGAGACUGGUCAUGUCACUUGAUUUUAUAACAAUUUUUCACAUUUUUCUUUUCCUAAGAAAUGAAGAUAUAAAUAAACACAUUUUCUUAAAAAGAGAAAGACCAAGCCAGGUGUAGUGGUGCUUGUGUGUAAUCCCAGUGGCUCAGGAGGCUGAAGCUGAGGCAGGAGGAUCUCGAGUUCAAAGCCAGCCUUAGCAACUUAGCAAGGUCCUAAGUAACUCAGUGAGAGUUUGUCUCUAAAUAAAAUAUAAAAAAGGAGCUGGGGAUGUGGCUUAAUGUUUAAGUGCCCCAGGGUUCAAUCCUCAGUACCAAUAAAUAAAUAAAUUAAAUAAACAAACAAAUAAAUAAAAGCAAAAGCCUACAAACAUUAUUUAGCUGUCUUUCCCAUGUUGUAACAUUUCUUCAACAUGGCACAAUGUAGAAGAAUAAUUUUACUCACGUAUGUGUGAAAGGAAGUUUAAAAUACUGCUAAGUACAUAGACUCAGGAACCAGAAGUCUUGGGUUCAAAUCCUAAUUCCUACUUGAUAGCUGUUUCCCUUUGGAAAGUGUUUCCUUUCUAUGUGACUGAAUCACAUUUGGAAAGUAGAAAUUCCAUUGUUUAAAAUUGUGAAGUCCAAUUAUUGUGAAAUUAAUAACACAGCUUUAUUUUUCAGAUGGUCUGACAAAAAGGGGCCAGAAAUACAAAAAGGAAGAUCAGAAGGACUGGAGCAAUUAUAAAAUAAGAUGUAGCAGUGCUACUCAGAUAUCAGAAGCUGCAUAUCCCUUGAAUCAACUUACUACUGUGAUAUCAACAGCACUGUUAGAAUCGGGCCUGGACUUGCUGAGGGGGUGUCAUUUAGUCAACGAGUGCUGCCUCUGUCCCAGCUCCUCCAUUCCCGUAUCAAUUCACACAUUGGGAGUUAGGAACCUUUCUCUUUUAGCCUUCUCAAUCCCUUCAGUACCUAAUAGGAAGCUACUUGUCAAAAGACCCUGAAAAUGUAGUUUGAUGUCUUCCAGCUCCAGAUGUUCAGAAGAGUAUAUAGCAGGGUAGAUAGACUGAAAAGCCACAGAUAAAUAACCUGUGCAAAGACUUCGUACAUAUGCACAGAAUCUGUAUUUUUUUGUAAUCUGCAGCUAUCUCUAGGAAGAAGAACUUGGGCUGGUGUACAGCAGUGGGGGGAUAUAUUUUUUAUUCUUUGCCAUUUGGGGUUUGUUUUUAAGGUAUUUAGAUCACAGAAUUGUACUCAUUUCACAGCACACAUUUUGGCUCAUGCAAAUUAUGCCCCUUUCUUUCUUCCAUCGUUACCCAUGCCAUGGGUGUCUUGCUCCCAUAUUUUAUCUGCAUUGAAAUUCUUAAAAGAUAUAUAAUAAGUUAUAUUUAAUGCUGUUAUACUAAAACUUUUUUUUUUCACUUAACAUUAGUGUUUGAGAUGGAUCAAUAAUACUGUUUAUAAAUUUGGGUCAGUGUAUUUUGCUGCCUGGUAUUCUGCCAUAUGCAUAUAACUACAUUUUCUCUAUUUUCCUAUUGUUGGUAUCUAAGUUGCGUGUACCUGUCUUGCAUGUAAGCUGCAACAAACAGUCUAAUCCCUGUUUUCUUGUGGAUCUGUCCAGAGUCUUUGGAAUGUAUAUACCCACUAUGGUAGACAGCCUCUGAAACAGCUCUCAGGGUUCCCAUUUCCUAAUAUUCAUGCUCUUGUUUAAUUUUUCUUUUAUUUUAGGCUAGAUCUAGUGAUUCUUCUCUAACAAAUUGAAUGUGGCAAACGUGGUGAUAUGUUACUUACAAAAUUAGUUUACAGGAACAUUAUGACUUCUGUCUUGCUUUCUAUUUCUCAUUCUCUUUUUUGAGAGCCCUUACUCUAGAGGAAACAAGCUGCCCUGUUGUGAACUGCCCUAUGAAGGGAUCCAUGUGGCAAGUAACUGAUAUCUGUAGCUGAUAUUCAGCAAGGCCCUAAGACUUGCCAGCAGCCAAGUAAGCAAGCUUGGAAAUGGAUCUUCUGAGGACUUUGAAAAGGUUCACUGACCCUUGAGAUGACUACAGCCCCAGCUGACCCUCGAUUGCAGUCUUCUGAUGCACAGAUAGUAAGGUAAGUCACAUCUGGAUGACUGACCCACAGAAACUUUGCAAAAAUUAACAUUUGUUGUUUUUACACACUAAAUUUUAGGGUACUCUGUUACAUAGAAAUAGAUAAUUAGUAUACUGAUGAAUGUGAUUGCUAUUUGUAAGAUAUGUGUAUACUGAACCAAGAACUACCAGAUACCUUUCCUACCAUCAGUUCAUGAGGAUUUCUAUUUUCUUACUCUUUUCAUUAAUGCCAAAACUCCCCCGCCCCUAAUUUUUGCCAACUUGGUAUGUGUAAAGCAAUAUAUAAAACAUACUUUGUUUAUUUGGUUACAUGCUGAGUAUCCUUUCAUAUCACUUGCUAGUUAUUUGGGAUUUUCUUUCUGAUACAUAUUUAUUAUUUAAUCUUUCUUGAAUUUUCCUGUCUUUCUUGUUAAUUUGAAGAAAUUUCUUAUAUAAAUAGUCCUUAUUGAAUUAAGACAUUGAAAAUAUCCCAUCUAAUAAAUCUGCAUAUAAUAGCUUCUGUUAAACAGAAAUAUUUCAUUGUGAUGGUUUUAACCAUAAAUUCUUUUUCCUAAGGUUUGUGCUUCUCUAAGCCUUGUUAGGCAGAACCACCAAAUUUUUCAAAUAAAGUUCUUGGCAUUAAAUACUGUUGAAUGAAUUGAGAUGUAUUUAAAAAAUAUAGAUAAACUGAUUAUCUACUAUUGCCCAUAUCACUUGAAUUUUCUUUGCAAUACCAAUGUCAAUUAUUAUUAUUUUUUAUUGCAAAUAAUGUGGUAACUGUUAACACAUUCAUAAAUCCAGAUAAAAGGUGUGGAAUAAGAAGAACCUAAUAAGGGUGAAUUGAUGCUUCAGUCUCUAAAUGCCAGAAAUGGUAAUAAUAACAAAGCAUGUUGCAAAAUACUUUUUUUAAAAUGUGGUUUUCUACCUUCCCCAGGGUGAAGAGGAAAAGCCCCAAAUCCUUUUAAUAAUUUUAAUUAAAAUGGCCACCAGAUGGCACCAAUGCCUGGUAAGUACUUAUAAAAAUCAGAAGCAUUGUUCUCACAUUUAUCUUAAAAUCUGUUAAAGUAUAAAUGUAUUGACAAUGUAAUUAAGGAGAUAAUACUUGCCCCUCCAUGGUAAAUUAGCCUUGAAGAAAUCCCCUUAGGUUGGGUGAAAUGUAUAUCCUUUGUGGUUCUGUAGUGAAUAGUACUUACUGAUUCCUCUGUAAUUAUUACUUGUGAUUAUUUUUUUCAUCUGAGGUAGAGAUCAGGACAUUUUCACUUGUACUAAACUCUGAAUAGUGUGGCUUUUAUGUAUUUUUCUAGUGAUCUCUGGGUUAUGACUUAAAGUCAGGUUGGGGAGAAAUAAAAUCUAAAAUGUAGACUUGCCAAUUUAAACAGGCCUUUCAAUGUUUAUAACAACUAUAGAUUUGGGGAAAUAAUGGAAAUGAACAUUUUAGUGCUUUAAUUUCAUGUAUUGAAUUGAUAAUAAAAAAAAAUAGCCAAUAAUGUCUAUUUCAUUUACUGGACUGAACUACAAAACCCAUUUCUUUUUGGAAAGGGCCACAGAGACACUUAGGAUUCUUAAAAGGUACAUUUAUUUAUGAAUUAAUAUGUCCAAGGACCAUAAAACUGAAUUCAAAGCAACCACCUGAACUCCAAAUAUGAGGUUUUUAAAAAACCAUGUAUCCUGAAUGGCACUAAUGAGGCUCAGGCUCUGACUGUGAUAUUUGAUUAUCCUCCAAAGGUUUCUAUUGGCUCUCUUUCUCUCAUCUUCUUAGAAGUGGCAUCUUCCCUGUGUUACUGGAGCAAUGAGAGGCGCAGCCCAGUAUUAGGCUUUCCCUCCUUGGAAAACAUAUGUCUAGAACCUGCUGUUCACUUGCAGCUGUAACUGGUAAGAUUUUACUAUUGAAAGUAUAUAUAUAUAUCUCCUCACCCCCAGUACUGAGGUUAGAACCCAGGGUCCUCUACUACUAAGCUACAUUCCCAGCCCUUUUUAAAAUUUUUUAUUAUUUUUUAAAAAGUAUUUAUUUAUUUAGUACUGGGAAUUAAACCCAGGGACACUUAACCACUGAACCACACCUGUAGCCCUUUUUAUAUUUUAUUUAGAGAUAGGGUCUUCCUAACUUGCUCAAGGCCUUGCUAAAUUGCUGAGGCUGGCUUUGAACUCACAAUCCUCCUGCCUUAGCCUCCUUAAAUCUCUGGGAUUACAGGCUUAUGCCACCAAGCCUGGCCCCCUUUUAUUUAUUUAUAUUUUUUAUUUUGAGACUGGGUCUCACUAAAUUGCUCAGGCCCCAGGCUGGCCUCAAACUGGUAGCUUCCUGUCUCUGCCUUUCAAGAUGCUACGAAGGCAGGCAUAUACCACCACACUUGGUUUAUUAAAUACGCUUUUAAAAAUAAUCAAUACCCACAUUUCCUUGAAUGUGAUUAGUGAAGCCAUAGCCCUUCAAGAAAGUACUUGGAGAAAAAAAGUGUUCUGUCCUUGUUUUUAAUUCCCAGCUUACUUUAUCAUAUUAAAGACUCUCUUGAAGCCCUGCAGUAGUGGUUUCCAAUGAAUGGUACUACUCCUGGGGGAUGGUUUGUAAAUUGGUAGGAGUGUUUUUGUUAUCUCGUUGAUUGGCCCUGGAACUGUGGGUGGACACUACAGUCCCAUGAAAUUAAGAGUUAUCCUUCACCCUCUGGGACUUCUGUUUGUCCUGAUAGUCUUAUGGCUGUAUAUAAUUAAGAUUAUUACCUAACUUUGUUUACAUAUAAACAGAGAGUAGUUGAGAUUUUGUAAGAGACACUGAAUGUUUAUGAAUGUAAUAAUUAUAUAAACCAAGAGAAGACUGUAUUUUGUUUUGCUUUGAACUUUACCAAGAAUUAUUCACUAUUUUCAAAGGGUAUAGCACCAGCAAUUUCACCAGUUGUACUUGAGUUGCUGACAGAGCAUAACCAGGUAGUCUGUGUUUGUAGAUGUCAAGUUGGAGAUGAUUCUUCUUUUUUUAUUUUUUAUUUCUUACAUACAUGAAAAUAGUAGAAUGCAUUACAAUCAUAAUUAUCCAUUCACGGCACAAUUUUUCAUAACUCUGUAUAUAAAGUAUGUUCAUGCCAAAUUAUGCCAUUAUACAUGAGCUCUCUUAUUUUUUUUUUUUGCAUUACAAUUCUUAAUACACCUUUAUACCACAAUGUAUCAUAUUUCUGUUUGUACAUACGGUAUGUUGACACCAAAUUCACAUCUUCAUACAAGUAUUUUGUAUAAUGAUGAUGGUCUCCUUCCAUCAUCCAUGCUAUUCCCCUUCUCCCUCCUUUUCCCUCCCACCCCUAUUUCCAUUACCACCUGGAGAUGAUCCUUCAUAUAGAAAGAAACACCUGACCACUUUUCUAUUUUGGUUUUGUUAUACUCAUGCAUCUACAUAUUGUUGUGGGAUUUUUGGAGAUUAUGUUUAUGAAGGACAUUCUUAUGAAUUUUGUUUCAGGAUGAUAAAGGAGGUGUUAGAAAGAUACAUGUUUACUGAAAGGAUACUUUGGGUCUGUUAGGUCUGUGAACUACUAUCCUAAGUAAAGAAAUCUGGAAGAAUUUUCUUAUUCCAGCUAAAUUUAUUUGAUAAUAGAACAUUUUUUUUGAUGCCUCUUGCCAAGCUUCCUUAAGUGAUUUGCUGAGGUUUUCAUUUGUCCUUCUAAUUUGAGUGUACAUUUAUAACAUCCGUCAUGUGUAUUUUCAAGCUUGUAUUAGUUAACAGAGAUCAGAGCUGGAACUCAGACAAGACAAAACUACAAGAGGAGCCCAGAGUGGGGAAAGGUGACCCAUAUCUUAUCUGAAGGCAGUGGUGAGCAUGUGGGGGAACAGAAGUGAGGUGCAGUGAGACCAGCCUGUAAAUGGUGAUAAGAUCCUACCAGAGGUGGCAUUGUGUUCUCAUAUUUUGUGUGCUUGCAAGAGAGGAUUUCAAGCAAGACUGGAGACUUAGUAAAAGUAUAGCAAUGUUUAUUAGAAGGAGAAGAAGGGGGAAAAGAUACUGUCAAAAUAGGGAGAGACAACUCACUUUUUUGUGAGCUCAUUUUUAUUGGGGUAGGAGGGAACUUUUAACAAUAGGAUUACAUAAGAUUUCAGUCAUUUUGGUUUGUGUAAAGGUCACAAAGGCCCUCUUUCAUCUGGGUCCUGCCUGGAUCAGGGUAACCUGUGUUUUUUUUGUUUGUAUUUUUUAAUCAGAGAAGGAGUUUUUGGACAUGUAUUCCUCAACUUUGAGGGGGAAGAAUAACCUUGGAAAUAGUAAGGAUUGUAACACAUUAUUAUCUUUUUAGCCCAAAACUGGGUUAGAAUGGCCUUUUGUGAGCUGCUUCAAAGAAAGACAUGCUGAAGGUUAACAGGUGGGUUCAGUCUGUAGAAUUAAGCCUUUAACUCCAUGUUCCCACCACUUAUGACUCCCUGCAUGCAAGCAUAGGAAGGUCUGCUUGCUCAAGGUUGAGCCCUAUGUACUCUCCAUACAAACAGAUUAAGGACUUCCCUUACAUGUUUCUUGAUGCUUUAAAGGAAUAUCUGGAUUUUUUUAAAAAAAUGUUUCUGUUGUGAUGAAUUAUUCCUAUGGUCAUCCAUAUUGUGAUUUUAGACACUUAGAAGCCUGAUAUAAAGACAGUUUACUUUAUAUUCCUCUUACCACAUGCCAAAGAUAAAUGCAUCAUAAAGAAAAAAGAAAGAUAGGAUGAUUUGUUUUGAACAUUCCACCAAACAUUUUCAUAAAGGAUAUAGUAGGUAUUAAGAGGUUAGAUGUUUUGAGGGUUAAACAGUCCACUACAGGAAUUUGUCACCCAAGAAACUCAGAGAGAAGCACUUGACAAAUUAUAUGUGGAGAUGGCUAAACAAAAUCAGUGUAUUAUAAAACAUUUCCUGUUGGCAACACUUGACCAAGAUUAGGAAAUCACAAGGUUGGGAAUCAGCCUUCUUGUGCUCCUGCUUUGCUGUGAAACCUGGGAAUGUAGUUAACCUCUGUUGAUGUCUUACGUACCUCAUCAGAUUUAAUAAACAUCGUGACAAAUGGGGGUGGGUAUCUUAACGAUGGAAAUUUAUUCAUCAUCUAUGUCACAGUCCUCUCCCAUGCUUGAAACCAUGGGUAAGUCUGUGCUCAGGCCACAAUUGAAUAAAAGUAACAGGUGUAUAGAAUACAAAGAGGAACUAAAAUUCAGCCUUCUGAAUGACUACUUUAAAAAUCCUUGGACUGGGGUGUAGCUCAGUGGUAGACCACUUGCCUAGCAUGUAUGAGGCCUGGGUUUUAUCCCUGGUAUUGAGGGAAAGCACUCACUUAUCAUGGAAAUAUUCCUGUUUCUCAUAUUUGAACAUGGGAAAGCCCCAAACUCCUCAAACCCUAUUGUUUGGCAAAGAAGUAGUAUACAGAAACAGCUGUUGUAUACACAAGGAGGGCAUUUCAUCACAACUGUAAUGAUGCAGGCAGAUUGGCCAUGAGACUGGGUGAGUUUCCCAGCUCCACCUGGGGCUUGACUCACCCAGUCUGCCUGUGACAACCUGUCUGUGGCAUGUUUUCUGUUUUGCUAGAUUGCCUCUCACUGGUUGAAAAGAUGACUUCUCACUACUGAGACCUGUGUAGGCCUGCAUAUUGGCUUACUAAAUGGAAGCUUUGCCUAUUCUGGGGUCUUUCCUCACAAUAUGCAUAUUUUGAUUUAAAUGCAUUUCAUACUGAUGCUUGUGUUAGGAAGCAUGAAGUAAGUCAAUAACUGGCUUUCUUGUCUUUGUUUUGCUACAGGAGAGAGCUGUUUUAUUUGGACUGUAUUAAAAAUUGACAGUACCUCAUUAAUCUGCAUAAUUGUUAUGUUUUUACCUAUCUGUUUAAUUUUUUUAAAAAAAGAGGUAAUAGUAGUGAUUGAUUCCAGAAAUGCUUUAUGCUGCAUUUUGGCUAUUCCUUCUAGCUGUGCCCCUGCAGUAGUGACUAUUAAUCACUAAUUCUAAACUCACAUGAAGAGUAUCAAACAAUACCUAUCACCAGAAAUCUCAAUGGAAUUACCUUUGUCACCACUUCAGACUUUAUGCUUUUCUGAAUUGUUACCAUAGGGUUGAAGUGUCUAGAAAACUUCCUGGUUCACCUUUUGAGUGAUUGACAAACCUUUACAGGUAUUUUGAGGACACCUUGUAGAUAGCUGUAAAGUGGUAAGUUUGUUGACUGGAUUCAUUCAUUCAUUCAACACGUUUAUUAUGUAUCUACUUUAUCAUGCUCUGUUUUAGCUAUUGGAGAUACAGCAGUGAAUAAAAUAGAAGUUUUCUCUAAUUUAACUGAAGAAAAUAGUCAAAAACAAAGGAAAUGGAGCAAUUGGUUAUUUGAGCAUAAGAAAUACAUGGAAAAAAUUAAGUCAAGGCAGAGGAUGUUGGCUGCUACUUUGGGAAAGCAAGUAGGAAAACAUCUCAAUUACACAUAUUGUUGUAUGGGAAGGCCAUACUGAGUGAGAGGAAAGGCUUGAUGAAAGGGAAGGAGUGAGCUUGUGUAUGUAUCAUGGAGAAAGAUGUGAAUCAGAGGGAGCAGUAGAUACAGAGGCCCUGAGGGAGGAGGUGCUUAGUGUGUUGAAAACAUGUAGUGCAUACUUUCUACAUUCCAAGCACUGCCAUAAAAACUUUACCUCCAUUAGCUCAUUUAAUCCACCAUGCAUUCUUCAUUACUCAUUCACAGAUGAAGAAAUCGAGGCUGAGACAGGUUGCAUAACUUGUAGAACCCAAGCAGACUGACUCAAGUCUACUUAACCUCUCUACUCAGCUGCCUAUGUCUAAUCCCUUGGAGAUGUGGAAGGCAUUACUCAUUUUAUUGCACUGUGACACUUUGCUUUCAGGAGAAAAUAUUUUUCUGAUUUUCACAUUGACAUGAGUUGUGCUUGUCUUGAGUAGCUGGUUCACUUUCAAACUUAUAAACACUGUGAUCUGUGACAAUGAUUACUGAUCAUGUUUUUUUGUUAGCCAUUAAAUAUUUAAAGGCCCAAUCAUUUUGUUUUCUUUCUUACUUCCUGUUUUUGUAUUUUACAUACUGUUAUAAUUACCUUAGAUAAUUUUGGAAAUAAAAGAAAGUACUAAAUACUUAGUUUAGGGUUGGGAAGCAAGCUGUUCUGGCUCUAGGAAAAUCCACCUUCCAGCUGGCCUGGCAGGACAAGGAUUCUCAUUUUCUCCAUUUCCUCAGCCACAGCUCUUCUCCCUUGCUCAUAUGUUUCCUUCUGGAGCUGGGGGGAGAAGAGAGAGGUAGGCUUUCUCUUGAAACCCCAGCCCUGGUAACUGUAAGUCCACAUGACCAUGUAGCACAGUGUUAAGAACAUGGAUUGAGACCCAACAAACUGUUCAUGCCCUGAACACCAUUUCCUAGCUGGGGUCCAAGUCCUCAGCUGCUUCUUGUGUUAAAUGAAGAUCAAAAAUAAUACAUCCCUCUUGGAGUCAUGAAGAUUAAGUAGGACAAUAUUCAUAUGUAAAGUGAAGCACAUAGCUGAUGCACAUAAACACUACAGAAAUCUUAGUUAUUGUUACUAUUUACCAUUCUUAAAAACAAACAAACAAGCAAACAAACAAACACUGGGCUUGGCUGAGAUUUGGCCAUUCAAAUGCCUGUGGGGUCUCUCUGUGGUACUGACCCCUCACACUUUGGCUCCCUAUGUGGGUAUGGCCUAUUGGAAAUAAUGUUAAUAGUAAAUAAAGCCAACAGCCAAGGAAAGGCUCCAAAUUUCUAAAAGAUUCUGUAUGAUCAGUGAUGAGGCUUCACAGAGACAUCCUGGAAGAGAACAGGGAGGAGGGAGCUGCUUCAGGCUCUACUUACGCUUUAUCAGCUGAUCCCCUUCCCACAAUGCUUUGCUUUUCAGUUGCUUGGGAAUAGUCAGCUUCUCAGGAGAUUUCUCAACUCCUCAACUUCUCAGCAUUUCUUUUUUCCUUUCUUUUAGGAUUGCUUCAAGUUCUGCAAGAAAAAAUGAUCCAGCUAAGCUUUUUAAGGUAGCAUACAAGUUAGAUAACUUUUUUUUUUCACUCUAUUAACAUGGUAAGUCACUGACCUUCAUGGAGAGAGGUGGUGCUGGGAAGCAUGUGGGUCCCUGGUUAGCAGCUGGAUGGUUCCAGGCUGAUGGAACCUUGUUCAAGGCCAGAACUCCUCAUCUGCCAAAAUGGGCUAAUACCUCCUCACAGGGAGGAUUGAGGAGCAUGAUGUGUGGGAAGGCUCCUAGCUUUCAGUGAUGUUAAUCUGAUUCUUGGAAGCCUUUUCUUCAGUUAUUUUACUUUCUGCCACAUCAUUAGGAUUGCUGAAUUAUUCAGGAUUUUUAUAACUAGUUUGUAGAUUAGCAAAGCCCUCUGCUAAUGGCUUUCUCUCCUGCUGACUUUUUAAAAAUUGCAAUAAAACUGCUUAUCAGCCUGUCAGUUAUGAGAAAUAGCAGAUGAUCCAACAUCACUAUUGCUGAAUGCCUUCAUAAAAUGGUUUUAUAAAAAUGACUUUGAAACUACAUUUGAAAUUUUACUUUUUAAGAUGUUUAUCUAUGGGUGGAUUAUAUCAACUGAUAGUUUUAUCAUUUUUAAGGUUGAUUUUUGGUGAUCGUGAGAUUAUCAAAAAAAUGUGAAGACCAGAAUAGAAUCAUUCAUAAUCCUACUAACCAGAAAUAAUCAAUAGUAACUUUUUUNUUCCUUUAUGCCUCUGAUCAAGUCAGCAUACACUUUGUCAAGUGAUUUCACAUUGCGGCUGGUAAGGAUAAUUCUAAUAUAAUGAAUCACUAUCUGUUCCACGGGUGCCUUUCUGGUGUCUUUAAAUGCCGUGACUGUGGUGCAGCUUCCUGACCUACUUGUUACUCAGCGAGAGAGAACAGCGGUGAGUCAGGAGCAGAAGCUGGCAGCAUGGUGCUCUGCUGCACUCAAAACCGCAUUGCUUUCAAAAAGGCUACCCCCUUUUUAAGCCUUUUCCCUGAGUUUCCUUGGCAAUUUC